AGAGUUUGAUCAUGGCUCAGAUUGAACGCUGGCGGAAUGCUUUACACAUGCAAGUCGAACGGCAGCACGGGGCAACCUGGUGGCGAGUGGCGAACGGGUGAGUAAUAUAUCGGAACGUGCCCAAUCGUGGGGAUAACGUAGCGAAAGUUACGCUAAUACCGCAUACGAUCUACGGAUGAAAGCGGGGGAUCGCAAGACCUCGCGCGAAUGGAGCGGCCGAUAUCAGAUUAGGUAGUUGGUGGGGUAAAGGCUCACCAAGCCAACGAUCUGUAGCUGGUCUGAGAGGACGACCAGCCACACUGGAACUGAGACACGGUCCAGACUCCUACGGGAGGCAGCAGUGGGGAAUUUUGGACAAUGGGCGCAAGCCUGAUCCAGCCAUUCCGCGUGCAGGAUGAAGGCCUUCGGGUUGUAAACUGCUUUUGUACGGAACGAAACGGUCUGCCCUAAUGCGGCAGGCUAAUGACGGUACCGUAAGAAUAAGCACCGGCUAACUACGUG
rnacentral:rRNA from 1 species